UUCGUUUCCAGUAUCUUUUCCCUUUUCUCUUCCUUUCCAUUUUCUUUGUUUUAGACCUUAUCUUUUAUUAAUGUGUUUUUACUUAUUUUUAUUCUGUUUUAAUAUUAGUGUUUUUUUAUCCUUGUGUUUUGACCUCUUGUGUUUCCUGUCAAGCACGUUUUAUAUCCAUUGUUGUUGUUGUUGUUUAUUUAUGUUAGUUCGUUUUCCUUUUUCUAUUAUUACGUUUUGACCUUGUUUUCUAUCGUGCGUGGAAUCGUGCGCCAUAAUGUGAUUGAUGAGAUUGCGUCGUCGUGGGCCUGAAAACCAUCCACCCGAGGCAUCCAUCAAUCACCCUCCACGCAUCCAUCACCCUCUUUGGCGUCCUCAUUUCAUCCAUCCCUUAUCACAGCCUUCCCUCCUUACCUUUAUUCUCAUUUUCCUUCCUUCCUUCCUUCCCUGGUCUCCUUAUCCCUCCCAGCAUCUCAAUUUUUAUCUCCAAUCGAGUUCUUUAUCUCCACCUUCUUUUGCGUCCUCAUUUCAUCCAUCCCUUAUCACAGCCUUCCCUCCUUUCCUUCAUUCUCAUUUUCCUUUCUUCCUUCCUUCCUUCCCUGGUCUCCUUAUCCCUCCCAGCAUCACAGUUUUUAUCUCCAAUCGAGUUCUUUAUCUCCAUCCGUAUAAUAUAAACCCCAGCAUCCAUUCUUUAGCUUUCCCUCGCAUCUCACUUCCCUUUUCUACAAUCCUUUACUACUCAGCUGCACCAUUUCUUCCCCUCUGGUCCCAUUAUCCUUCUUAGCAUCUCAGUUUUUAUCUCCAUCCGUAUAAUAUAAACCCCAGCAUCCAUUUUUUAUCCCAUCUGGUUUAAAGCUUUCUCUCGCAUCUCACUUUCUUUAUCUACAAUCCUUCACUUUUCAGCUGCAUCAAUUCUUCCCCUCUGGUCCCACUAUCCUUCCUAGCAUCUCAGUUUUUUAUCUCCAUCGUAUCUUUUAAGCCCCCAGCAUCCAUCCUUAGGGUCGUAUUUUAAAACAUUUCGUCGCCCAAGUUCACAUAUUUGACAUGGCUUUCGUAGGAGCUGUAGGCCUUUCCAGGGGUAGUUUUAUGACCCUGGUGGUAGUUUGACCCUUCUUCUGUGCCAUGAACCUUAAAAAACACUCAUGAAAACUCGAUUGAUCCCCUCUUUGACCUUUAGAAAUAGUUGAUGUGAGAAGCGAUGGCGUCUUAAAAUACAGCCCUUAAUCCCCUCUGGUUCCCUCAUCUCUUCGCAUUCCGUGUAUGUUUUUUUUUUAUCUACACUCUACUUCGCAUCCUUAUCUAUAAACCCAUCUGGUCUUUUGUAUUCUCCUUAUAUCCUUGUUUAUCUGUGUGAAUCAUCCAUCAUUCAUCUCGUCUGGCUUCCCUCCUUCCUUCCCCUCAUCCUCCCUGCAUCCAAGUUCACAACACACGCUCUAUUAAGCCUUCUGGUCUCUUGUAGUUUCCUUAUAUCCUUGUUUAUCUGUGUUUUUCAUCCAUCAUUCAUCUCGUCUGUCUCCCCCCUUCCUUCCCCUCAUCUUCCCUGCAUCCAAUUUCACAACACACGAUCUAUUAAGCCUUCUGGCCUCUUGUAGUUUCCUUAUAUCCUUGUUUAUCUGUGUGUAUCAUCCAUCAUUCAUCUCGUCUGGCUCCCUCCUUCCUUCCCCUCAUCCUCCCUGCAUCCAAGUUCACAGCACACGAUAUAGUAAGCCUUCUCUUGUAGUCUCCCUAUAUCCUUGUUUAUCUGUGUUAAUCAUCCAUCAUUCAUCUCGUCUGGCUUCCCUCCUUCCUUCCCCUCAUCCUCCCUGCAUCCAAGUUCACAGCACACGAUAUAGUAAGCCUUCUCUUGUAGUCUCCCUAUAUCCUUGUUUAUCUUUGUGUAUCAUCCAUCAUUCAUCUCGUUUGGCUCCCCCCUUCCUUCCCCUCAUCUUCCCCUGCAUCCAAGUUCACAGCACACGAUAUAGUAAGCCUUCUCUUGUAGUCUCCCUAUAUCCUUGUUUAUCUGUGUUAAUCAUCCAUCAUUCAUCUCGUCUGGCUUCCCUCCUUCCUUCCCCUCAUCCUCCCUGCAUCCAAGUUCACAACACACGACGUAGAAUUAACAGGAAGCACGUGGGAGUAUAUGUUUUCGACCUUCGCGUAACACCUGUGCCAACCCACCCACCCACCCACCUGCCUCGUGACCUUCAGCAAGCGACAGGUGUGCGCUAUUGACGUACGCUUCAUGCCGACUGUACUGCGUGCCUGUCUGUUACCUGGGAGACCGUCCUUUUAACGGGCACUUCCGCAUGUUUACCUGGGCGAAGAGAAAUGCGUCGAUGAGGUUUUUAAAGCGUUGGGAUGUGACGAUGUUUGUGUGUUGGUGUUUGUUACAUGGGAGAACUGUUUUUUUUCUUUUUUUAUGGGGGACUUUCGUAUGUUUACCUGUGCGAAGAUAAUGCGUUGGUGAGGUUUUAAGGCGUUGGGAUGUGACGAUGUUUGUGUGAUGUUAUUUGCUUUAAUGUGGAUGUUUGUUACCUGGGAGAACUUUUUUUCAUGGGGGACUUUCGUAUGUUUACUUGUGCGAAAGAAAAAAUGCGUUGAUGAGAUUUUAAAAGCGUUGGGGUGUGACGAUGUUUGCGUGAUGUUAUUUACUUUACUGUGGGUGGGAAAGACGAAAACCUGCUUGAUGAGGGAUUUCCGCGUGUAUUUACCUGUGAAAACUAAUAUCCAUAGGUUUGGGUGUAGAGGAACGAGUAUACAGCUUUAGUGAUACAUAGGUGUGUGAGUGUAGAGGGAGAAGUAUGCAGCCAGUGUACCUGUGUGGCGAGUAUACCCGUGUUACCUGUGUCUGGAGUUAGCGGGCGUAAAAAUAUACCUGUUGUGUGACAUAUGAGCGAUGUAAAGGGGAGGUGCUCUUACGCAAGGCUUACCUGCGUGAAGUGUACACCUGUCUGGGAGGGUCACCUUUGUAGUGCGCCUGUUUCCUGGCCUUCUUGUGUGUGAGAGGAAGUGUGCAGUCAGCCACGAAAGUCCGACCCGGUAUAAAAGUGAAGUAAUCUGAAGACUGCCUUAACAUAUGCUUGUAGAAAGGAAUACAUGAGGAUAUCAGGAGGCUACACAUGGGAGCUCUGGAGAAUGAUAUUGUACUCUGCUGUCUGUAUCCAUAAAACUAUCAAACCGAAGAUGGGACAAGGAAGUAAGAAGGGAGGAAGGAAAGAGGAAUGUAAUAGGAAAGAGGAGGAGGAAUGAAAUUAAAAGCAGACGAAAACAAGAGGAUGGAAGAGGGACGUAAGAAGGGAGGAAGGAAAGAGGAAUGUAAUAGGAAAGAGGAGUAGGGAUGAAAUGAAAAGCAGACGAAAACAAGAGGAUGGAAGAGGGAAAUAAGAAGAGAGGAUAGAAAGAGGAAGAGGAAUGAAAUGAAAAGCAGACGAAAACAAGAGGAUGGAAGAGGGAAAUAAGAAGAGAGGAAGAAAAGAGGAAUAGGAAUGAAAUGAAAAGCAGACGAAAACAAGAGGAUGGAAGAGGGAAAUAAGAAGAGAGGAGUGUAAUAGGAAGGAGGCGGAGGAAUGAAAUUAAAAGCAGACGAAAACAAGAGGAUGGAAGAGGGAGAAGAGAGGAUGGUAAGAGGAGGAGGAAUUAAUUGAAAAGCAGAAGACAAAGGGAAGGGAAGGGGUGGUAAGAAGAGGGAAUGGAAGUGGGGAAAGAGGAGGAGGAGGAGGAGGAGGAGGAGACACAAAGGGAGGAAGAACGAGAAAUACUUGAAGGAAAUGCAAUAGGAAGAGAAGGAAAGAGAAGUAUACAGGGAUAAGAAGAGAGAGGGAGGACUAUGUAAAAGGAGGAGAUGGAAGAGGAGAAGAAGAAGAAGAAGAAGAGCAAAAAGAAGAAUAAGAAGAUGAUUUAAACUUACAACAUUUACAGUUAGAAGCGUCCACAUUCCCUUGUUUUGGAGAAGCAUAUAGGGAUUAAAAAGAGGGAAAAUUAUGUAAAAGGAGGAGAUGAAAGAGAAGAAAGAGAAGGAAAAGUACGAAAAAGAAUAAGAUUAUGAAUUAACCCCAUGACAUUUACACUUAAAAGCAUUCAUAUUGUAUUAGUUUUCGCUCAUUCUGUUGUAUCAUUCCUAAGAUUACAUGUUUUUUAAAGGGUAGGGGGAACUGUACAUUUUUUGGGGUUCAUUAAGGUAUGGGGAAGCUUACCUGUUAAGUUACCUGCGCAGAGGGAUAAUUAGUGCGUGACAUACCUGUUUUACGUUGCUCAGGUGUUUUCAAUCAGGUACAAAGGUGAGGCGGCCGUGAGGGUGUUAUUGAGGGAGAAGCAAGUGCCAUUUGUUGUGUGUGUGUGUGUGUGUGUGUGUGUGUGUGUGUGUGUGUGUUCCUUUGUUACGUUUGCGAGUGACAUUUCAAGUAUGCGAGUUUAUUUGGCUGAGUGAUUGUGUUCGUUACCUUCGUCUCUCUGUGUGUGUGUGUGUGUGUGUGUGUGUGUGUCUCGUCACCGGAAGUGGCGCUCGCUGCCUCGUGUACCUUCUCUUUAAACUUAAUUUCAACACCGCUAUGCAGAACACUAAUGAACCCUUGCCCAGGUGACGACAGGUGUGGCGUGGCGUUCUCAGGUGUGCCUUGAAGUGAUGGGACGGGGGAAGGGAAGACGAGGAUGGGACGAGGAAAUUAGAAGAGGGGAAGGAAGGAAGGAAGGAAGGGAGGAAUGACUUGAAAGGGAGAUAAUGACAAGACGAAGGAAGGAAGGAAGAAAGGAAAGUAAGGGGAAAUAGGAGAAGGAAGGCAGGAAGAGGAAGAGGGGGGGAAUAAUGUAGAAAGAGGAGGAGGAGGAAAGAAAGAAGGAAGGAGGAAAAUAAUCGGAAAGUCGAAGGAAUGACUCGAAAAACUGAUGAAGUCGAGGAUAGAGCAAGGAAGUAAGAAGAGGGGAUGAAAGUGGGGAACGAAGAUUAAAAGGAGGAGGAAACAGCAGAUUAAUGAGAAAGAUACACGAAGGGAGAGAAGGAAGUAAAACGAGGAGAGGAACGAGAAAUGCUUGAAAGGAAAUGCAGUAAGAGGAGAAGGAGGAGAAAGAGGGGACUGGGAGAACAUGUGAUGAGAGAACUUGGAUAAUGAUAGAUAAUGAAAAGAGAGGAAGAGGAAGAAGAAGAAAGGGAAGAUAAUGGAGGAGGAGAGAGAGAGAGAAGGAAGAAAGAGGGAACUAAAAGAUAAGAUGAGAGAACUUGGGUAAUGAUAGAUAAUGAAAAGAGAGGAAGAAGAAGAAGGGGAAGAUAAUGGAGGAAGAGGAGGAGGAGGAGGAGGAGAAAACAAAAGCACAGGAAGAAGAAGAACGAAGGAAGAGUGACAUUGGUUAGUGGUUUAUAAUGAAAGAGGAGGAAGAAGAAGAAGAAGAAGAAGAAGAAGAAGAAGAAGAAGAAGAAGGGAAAGUCAAACCAGAGGAGAUACCUUGAUAAACAACAUUAGGAGGAAGAGGAGGAGGAGGAGGAAGGGGAAUGUAAUGUAAGGAAAGGAAGGGAAGAGAGGAAGAGAAAGGAAGGGGAGAGAGGAAGGAAAGGGAUAGGAAACGACGCGACAUUGUGCUUCUUUUAAAACAUUCAUUGUAUUAGUGAAGCAACGAGAGAGAGAGAGAGAGAGAGAGAGAGAGAGAGAGAGAGAGAGAGAGAGAGAGAGAGAGAGAGAGAGAGAGAGAGAGAGAGAGAGAGAGAGAGAGAGA